rnacentral:rRNA from 1 species
UACGAAGGGGGCUAGCGUUGCUCGGAAUCACUGGGCGUAAAGCGCACGUAGGCGGACUCUUAAGUCGGUGGUGAAAUCCUGGAGCUCAACUCCAGAACUGCCUUCGAUACUGAGAGUCUCGAGUCCGAGAGAGGUGAGUGGAACUGCGAGUGUAGAGGUGAAAUGCGCAGAUAUCAGGAGGAACACCUAUGGCGAAGGCAGCUCGCUGGGACGGUACUGACGCUGAGGCGCGAAAGCGUGGGGAGCGAACAGG